UACGGGGGGGGUAAGCGUUGUUCGGAAUUACUGGGCGUAAAGGGCUCGUAGGCGGCCAACUAAGUCAGACGUGAAAUCCCUCAGCUUAACUGGGGAACUGCGUCUGAUACUGGAUGGCUUGGAUUUGGGAGAGGGAUGCGGAAUUCCAGGUGUAGCGGUGAAAUGCGUAGAUAUCUGGAGGAACACCGGUGGCGAAGGCGGCAUCCUGGACCGACAUUGACGCUGAGGCGCGAAAGCCAGGGGAGCAAACGGG
rnacentral:rRNA from 1 species